rnacentral:rRNA from 1 species
AGUGAACGCUGGCGGUAGGCCUAACACAUGCAAGUCGAACGGCAGCACAGUAAGAGCUUGCUCUUACGGGUGGCGAGUGGCGGACGGGUGAGGAAUACAUCGGAAUCUACUUUUUCGUGGGGGAUAACGUAGGGAAACUUACGCUAAUACCGCAUACGACCUACGGGUGGAAGCAGGGGAUCUUCGGACCUUGCGCGAUUGAAUGAGCCGAUGUCGGAUUAGCUAGUUGGCGGGGUAAAGGCCCACCAAGGCGACGAUCCGUAGCUGGUCUGAGAGGAUGAUCAGCCACACUGGAACUGAGACACGGUCCAGACUCCUACGGGAGGCAGCAGUGGGGAAUAUUGGACAGUGGGCGCAAGCCUGAUCCAGCCAUACCGCGUGGGUGAAGAAGGCCUUCGGGUUGUAAAGCCCUUUUGUUGGGAAAGAAAAGCAGCAGGUUAAUACCCCGCUGUUCGGACGGUACCCAAAGAAUAAGCACCGGCUAACUUCGU